GUGAAAACGGAGUGUUGAAGUCUUCUACUACUAUCCCAUGACAGCUGCUGGUAUUAUAGUAUGCGCCGCCUUGUCUAUCUGAAAACAUGGGUUUCGGAAGAGAAAAUACAGAACAACUUCGCCACUGAGGGCUUGGUGUUGGCUUAAAAGAUCUGACCAGCUCCAGAGCUGGUGCCUGCGGAAAUGGAAUGUCCCACCAUCGUGCCUGAGCAGCAGCGAGGCCCGCUGCCAGAGAAGCAGGCCAGUGACUGUGGAGCCAUGAUUACUACCUGAAACAGCAGUAGAUUAAAGCACAGGCUCGUGCCUUGGAGAAACAGCAUUUGGUGCCCAAUGUCCGGCCAUGUAUAUCCACAUAGGUCCUGCGAAAGCUGAAAGAAUUGGACGCAGUGCCCUGGUGA